ACUCCAGCUCAGAUAACAUGCAAAUCAAACACAUCCAAUGGGAUUAACAGACAGACUGGCAAUACGACCCGAUGACGACUUAAUUAAUUCUGCUUCUUUUCGACCAUGCAGCUUUAAUCCUUGAAUGGCUGACUUCACAUCCUUUGUCAUCGUUUUAAUUCCGAGUCGCGCCUCGGAGGAUUAUUUUUGUCGACAGUGGGAUGGCGAGAAAGCUGGCCUAAUCAGCACACGGCAGGUCGACGGAAGCCCCGUCGAUAACCACCCCUGUCUUCAUUGAGUUGGAGCAGUUUUGGACAGAUAAGCUCAAACUUCAUGCUGCAGUAACAAUGACUUGAUGGCCAGCUAGGCCUUCCUGUAAGAGAGAGAAACAACUCUUUGAAAGGAAGCAGAUGAUACUGCUACACAAAUCAGCAUAUACAUUCAAUAUCCCAGAAUUCAAAAUGAUGUACACCUUCCUUAUGAACUGCUGUGGAGCAAAAUACCGUUUCGAAGUGUGGCUUAGAAGAAGCAAAGUAAUAAAUAUUCGGUUAAAGCGAGACAAACACGUCACACGAGAGUGAUAAACUGUAUCCAAUGCUGUAUUUGUGUAUAUGUGUGUGUCGGUAAGUGGGCGAUAUACCAGGAUGGGAAUUUUAAUCGCUUGAAAGAACAAUGUCCACCCCAACGGCGGAAGCCGCUUCUAAGGAUUUGACCCACACAAGGAUAAGGAACUCGAAACUGCCUGACAUUAAAGGUGUGAAGGAGGGAAAACCGGCCAAACAGUAGAUGUCAGCUUCCAGCUUUUGUGGCCGUCUUUGACACACAUAUCAAAAUAGGAUUUAUGCGAAUAGAGGCUCGUAAACACAGCAAGAGGAAUGCAAGACUGGUCAAAGCUCUCAAUGGCCACCAAGGACCCAACCCCUCACGGGACCUACGCUCGUGAGUGACAGUAGAGGCUAUCUGCGCAGCUACUACUGCACGUGGUGCGAGCUUAAAGGACCAGGUGGGCUCAGAUUCAAACAAACGAUAGACUUGAAUGAAAAGAACAGGGAGGGAAUGAAAAAACCAGGGAAGCGAUUUCAAAGAGGGAAUGCAGGAAAGGUGGUUUCGAGAGUGGCUGAAAAAAAAAACGUCUUUGUCAUAUGUCGGGGAAAAUAUUCACAAACAACACAACGCUGCAACUGCUGUAAGAAGAACCAAUGCGUUUUGAAGCUUUAAAACGCGGGCCUUCUUGAAAACUUGACUAAUAAAGAAACAACACUAAUGGAGAAAAAGUUUUAUGAAACUAACAAGAGAUGGUGUUUAUACAUAUCUAGAAAGUUACAAAUGAUUUACUAAUCUAAUUUCAGAAAAUGAAAACAUUUCUAAACACACAACUAUAUUUUACAACGCCCAACUGACUUUUAAGAAUAAUAUUAGUUGGGACAAAUACAUACACAAUUGUUAUGUUUAUUUUGAUCACUUUCUUAAAUACUGGGUCCUCCGGUGAAACAGCGGUAAGUCUUCGGAUUUACAACGCUAAAAACAGGGGUUCGAUUCCCCUCGGUAGACACAGCAAAUAGCCUGAUGUGACUUUCCUAAACAAAACAUAAAUACAUACGUAAAUACUGCAACAGAUAUCUGCUACAGUUUGUUCACAUGUCUGUCCUUCUACCUGAAUACAUUGUACAGGGUGUCCCAGAAGUCUAGACCCAUAGAGAAAAUACACAGUGUAUUCUUACUUUAUUUGUUAUUUAAAUUGCAUGCCAUUAACAGCCAUACACAUAUCAAUUCUUAGUAUACUGUGCCAUCAGGGUAUUUUCGUUCCUGAAAUAUGUAUAACUGACAUUAGAAAUAUGUUCGUUUAACUUUAAGUAUAUGAUGUCUGUAUUCUCUAUGGGUCCAGACUCUUGGAACACCCUGUAGUUUCAUCAACUGUCGUAAUGCACGCGAAAAACGUCAUGAAGGUUUGUCGUGUUCUUCUGAUUUUUUGAUCAACAUAACAAAAAAAUCAGUUUCACAUCGAUCUUUUGAAGGACGAGAGAAACGUUAUGCAUUACUAUCAAUAUUUACUUUUAAAUUAUGUUCAGCAAAUAACCACUUACUUCCUCAGUACAAGUGUGUGAACGAAACUUACAGCUGAUGCACAUACGCACGUGUAACACACAAAUAGCUAAUAGUGUACAUAUCAUACUGUGAAAAAUAGUCAAAGCUCAUGAAACUUUAAGCAUACAUGACUUCUUCUGAACGUUGUAUGCUGUUUUGGUUAUUACUUCUGGUGUAUUUAUGCUUGUUUAGAGUUAAACUUAUAAUGUUAUAAGCCCUCGUGCCUGCUCUCACAAUAAUUUGCUAAACACCGAUGUUCUAGAUAAUAAACUUUCUGUCUGAAUGUCAUUGAAAUACUUCGUUUUUUGGUUGUUUUUUUUUUUUUACUUUUUGUCACUGAAAAUAAAAACUUUAUUACUCGUAUUGCAAUGGUAAUAAAUACAAUACGGUGACAAUGGUACUAAAUGCAAUAAUAACUAGAAGUGAAUUUAGCCUUAAAAUCGAAAGAGUGGUGAUAAAACAUUGUGUGUGUACGUGGUUGAAAGACCUACUAACCAAUGUUCAUAUUUGUUGUUACUAGAUUAAAUAUGAAAUACAAGUAGCAGAAGUUUAAACUGGUGUUUUCACGUGAUCUUUCGAAACAAACUGUAGUUUGGUCAUUAAAUGUUGAGUGUACCACAAAGUCUCUUAAAUCCUCUUCAAGAGUUCCCUCUUCUGGAUUGCACAUUGUGGACUAAGUCACGUUCUAUUCCGUUUCAUUUCCGUGUACAUAGUACAGGGGCUGAAGGGAGACCCUCCCCGCCAAUACUUUUUUUGUAUCUAUUGAUGAAACCAAACAGCUUAGCUAGUAACCACAGCAACGCCACUACCGUCAAGGGCCUCCUAGUUCAACUAGAAGAUGGUAGAAUCUUCAGCAGCUCGAUCCACGAAACAAAGUUACUUCACUCUGAAAUACACAUGUUGGGUUUGUAAUCAGCAUUUAUUAAAACCCUAAAGACAUUUUAGU